UUUACAAGGACGAUAUUUCCGUGAAUAUAAUGUUUUUCAACAUAAAGAAGUUACUACUCAAAUUUUCACCGCAAGCCAUUUAGUUUAUGUUUUGGCUAUUUUUAUAAGGACGAGAGGGAUUAUGUUAUAAUUUGGUUGUGGAAGUCUCACUCUUUGCUAACUUAAAAACCUUGUGGAUAGUAGCAGUUACUAUUUCCCUGUUGUCCUAUUUACAGGAAAAUAUGUAUAUGGUGAAAGGCCACAGUGUUUCCUUUCGUUGCUGUAAUGAUGUAGAAAAGAUUUCCAUGUGGAUUUUUUUUUUUUUGAGAGUCUAAAAAAAUAUAUGCUAUAAACAUUUGCUGCAGUACAAUUCUUUAAGUGGACUGGGGUCACCGUAUUUUGUUUUCGAGAUCCAUAAAUUAAUACAACCAAAUUGAUGCGGCGCUGACCAAGGCCGCCGGGUCUGACGUCGUGGGUGUGUGAACAGGUGCUGUCACCAUCUUGAAAUCCUUAAUAAUUUGUGAAUAAGGGGCCUGCAUUUGCAUUUUGCGCUGGGCCUCGAACGUUAUGUAGCCGGUCCUCAUAACGGAACUCAGGAACAUGGUACCUCUCUUCCUGGUGGAUACAAAUGAAGAAACCUGCGUCCGGUGUCAAACGUGGCUGGCCGUGUCAUUCAAGGAGGAAUCUAGACGGAUUAAGAGGAGAGCGGGCGUGGGUGGAGAUUUUCUUUCCAGCUUGAAAAAAAACAAAAAAUGACUUCAAAAACUGACUGCAAAUAUUGACGAUGAUUUCAGCUGGAGAAGAGGGAACGGCCUGAUGACGAACGGGCGGUUCAUCACGGUACUGAGAUGUUGACCCUGAACUUGCCAAGGAACUGAACCGGCACCGUCCAGCGAGCGUGGGAUUCGGCUUCGGCUUCGGCUCCAGGCACGUAUGCGGUGCCUGAAGAGACACACGCACGUACGCUCGCCUACGUGUGCUUUUGGUGUUGGGAAGUUGAUGAUCUGGUCUACCUGUGUGAAAUGUUAAGCAGGAAGCGGGAGGAUGUUUUUGAAAUAGUGCUUCUCAGCAAGGGGGCGAUUUGGCAAUGUCUGGAGUCAGUUUUGGCUACCCCAGCUCGGGAGAGGGCGCUGCUGGCAUCUGGAGGGUAGAGACCAGGGAUGUCGCUCAGCUUCCCACAGUGCACAGCGCAGCCCCCCCACAGCCAAGAACGAUCCGGGCAAAACAUUCAAUGCCUGAUCUCUCGAAAAGAAAAGGGGACGCUUCACUGCAAAAGCUUCACUGCCGUGGCUCCUUCAGUUUAAACACUAUUUACGAAACCGUUAAUAAAAAUCUGGAAUCUGGAAGGCGAUCUGGAUGCGAUCUGCUUAGUUUGGAAAGGCAGAGUGGACUGUACUCUCCAUUGCUGUUGCUUUCUGGUUCAAAAUAAAAUCAUUUUUGUGGUUCCGAGGCCCUCUGUCUCGCCUGUCUCUGUUGCCUUGUCAUCAUUUUGUGUCUUCUGCUGGUUUUUUGAACUCCUUUGCAACAUACGGUGUCUCCUUUUCCUGCCCGAAACUCUCCCGUCCGGCAUCCCGCUUCUCUCCGUGCAAAAUGCAGUUCCUUUACAAGCCUCAAAAUAAUCCCUAGGAAAUUUCAAAACCACAAUAAGAUCCAUACAGGAGUGGAGAUCCAGCGCAAGAAGGCUUGAUGUCGAGUCUUAAGUCUAUCCCCAACCCCAUCCCAUGGCCCCAGGACUUGACCUUCUCCCGUUAGAGGUGCAAGCCCUUUCGAUGGAAGCCCGGGCUCUGCCGAGUGGUCGUGGGUCCCCGGCCUCAGUGCCACCUGCGAGCUGCUUAGAGAUGCCCAUUCUCCAACCCUACGCCCUGACCUCCUCGGCAGCAUCUCCGCGAGUGGGAGCAGCAGUAAGUUCUAACAGGCCUUCCCGGCGAUUCUGAUCCUGGCCACAGUUUGUGAAGCAAAGCCCCGGAAGGCUUUACCCAGUCCCCUCUCCCGUGUGAAAAAUGCGCUUACGACCUGAAGUGUGUUUUCGAGGUAAAGUGCUUCAGAGGCCGUAUGAUGUAACGCGGUGAUUGAUUCUUAACCCGGCCGAGCACGAAACUUGCCUUUUCUUUUUUAGAAAUGCUGACUCCUGGAUCCCCUUC